rnacentral:rRNA from 1 species
CGGAGAAUGUUAUCACGGGAGACACACGGCGGGUGCUAACGUCCGUCGUGAAGAGGGAAACAACCCAGACCGCCAGCUAAGGUCCCAAAGUCAUGGUUAAGUGGGAAACGAUGUGGGAAGGCCCAGACAGCCAGGAUGUUGGCUUAGAAGCAGCCAUCAUUUAAAGAAAGCGUAAUAGCUCACUGGUCGAGUCGGCCUGCGCGGAAGAUGUAACGGGGCUAAACCAUGCACCGAAGCUGCGGCAGCGACACUCAGGUGUUGUUGGGUAGGGGAGCGUUCUGUAAGCCUGUGAAGGUGUGCUGUGAGGCAUGCUGGAGGUAUCAGAAGUGCGAAUGCUGACAUAAGUAACGAUAAAGCGGGUGAAAAGCCCGCUCGCCGGAAGACCAAGGGUUCCUGUCCAACGUUAAUCGGGGCAGGGUGAGUCGACCCCUAAGGCGAGGCCGAAAGGCGUAGUCGAUGGGAAACGGGUUAAUAUUCCCGUACUUGGUGUUACUGCGAAGGGGGGACGG